GCAGUAGCCGCGGGAAUACGUAGGCCCCGAGCGUUGUCCGGAUUUAUUGGGCGUAAAGCGCACGUAGGCGGCUUUGUAAGUUAGAGGUGAAAACCCAGAGCUCAACUCUGGAAUUGCCUUUAAGACUGCAUCGCUUGAAUCCAGGAGAGGUGAGUGGAAUUCCGAGUGUAGAGGUGAAAUUCGUAGAUAUUCGGAAGAACACCAGUGGCGAAGGCGGCUCACUGGACUGGUAUUGACGCUGAGGUGCGAAAGCGUGGGGAGCAAACAGGAUUAGAUACCCGUGUAGUCCCUGUCUCUUAUAC
rnacentral:rRNA from 1 species